GACUGCAUCCUCUUCCGCGGUGCGUACAAGGAUCUGAAUGCAUGCCCGGUAUGCGGUGCAUUACGGUAUAAGAUCAGACGAGAUGACCCUGAUGAUGUUGACGGCGAGCCCCCCAGGAAGAGGGUUCCUGCGAAGGUGAUGUGGUAUGCUCCUAUAAUACCACGGUUGAAAUGUCUGUUCAGAAAUGGAGAGCAUGCCAAGUUGAUGCGAUGGCACAGUGAGGACCGUAAGAAAGAUGGGAAGUUGAGAGCACCCGCUGACGGGUCGCAGUGGAGAAAAAUCGAGAGAAAGUACUGGGAUGAGUUUGCAAGUGAGCCAAGGAACGUAUGGUUUGCUUUAAGCGCGGAUGGCAUUAAUCCUUUCGGGGAGCAGAGCAGCAAUCACAGCACCUGCCCCGUGACUCUAUGUAUGUAUAACCUUCCUCCUUGGAUGUGCAUUAAGCGGAAGUUCAUUAUGAUGCCAGUUCUCAUCCAAGGUCCUAAGCAACCCGGCAACGACAUUGAUGUGUACCUAAGG
rnacentral:rRNA from 1 species